AUUGAACGCUGGCGGCAUGCCUUACACAUGCAAGUCGAACGGCAGCACGGGAGCUUGCUCCUGGUGGCGAGUGGCGAACGGGUGAGUAAUACAUCGGAACGUACCCUGAAGUGGGGGAUAACGUAGCGAAAGUUACGCUAAUACCGCAUACUCUGUGAGCAGGAAAGAGGGGGAUCGCAAGACCUCUUGCUUUAGGAGCGGCCGAUGUCGGAUUAGCUAGUUGGUGAGGUAAAGGCUCACCAAGGCGACGAUCCGUAGCGGGUCUGAGAGGAUGAUCCGCCACACUGGGACUGAGACACGGCCCAGACUCCUACGGGAGGCAGCAGUGGGGAAUUUUGGACAAUGGGCGCAAGCCUGAUCCAGCCAUGCCGCGUGAGUGAAGAAGGCC
rnacentral:rRNA from 1 species